rnacentral:lncRNA from 1 species
UUUAACUUAUAUAUGCAUAUAAUUGAUAUGCUGAUGUCCUCUCCUUUAUUUUAAGCCAGAAAAAUGUCGUCUUUUUCUUUUCUUUCCUUUUCUUUUCUUUUUCUUUUUCUUUUUCUUUUUGUUAGGCAGAAAUAGAUAAUAAUAAAAAGAAAUUUGUUUACUCUUAAAAAAAAAAUUUCUGCCAAAUAAUUUUUAAUGUUUGACGUUAUGAUUUACUCAGGGAACAGGCUUCCAGCAUCGCCACGAGCCUCCUGCUGCUACUUGACCUAUGUUACAGAAGGAUGCUGCUUCUCUCUAGGUGCUGGUAUUUAGUCUAAUUUGUCUUUGAACUCUUUAUUUGUACCCCCCCCCCCAAAAAAAAAAAAACAUAGAAAAAAUCACCAGUUCGAUUUGAUCAGAUUCGAGCUGUGAAAAGGCAUAUAUCUAAUAAAAUACACCAACUUCGAUGAUAUUUAAAAGGUUAACUUUGUAGAUGUUUGGGAUAGAAAUAAAAACAAUGCCAAAAUCAAGCUGCUAAAAGAAAUGAGUUAACCAUUUGAAGAAUAUAAGCUUCUAGUUUUAUUCAUAAUAUUUUGUUCAAUACCAGAUUUGCCUUUAUUCCCAGUGAAGCAGAGAAAUAUAUAGAAUACAUAUAGAUAUUAUAUAUAAAAACUAAUGGAACAUUCAUCAAUAUCCAUGCUCACUAGUCAUCAUAAUUGACUUAGUUUCACACCAGAUUUGCCUUUACUCCUAGUGAAGCAUAGUAGUACACAUAAUACAUACACAUUAGAUACAUAUAUAAAACCUAAUGGAACAUUCAUCAAUCCGUGCUCACUAGUUAUCAUAAUUGACUGAUUAAUUAAGUAAUUAAUCAAUCAAUCCUUCUUGUGCUCUUGAUCAGCACGUCGUACUUCAAGGCCGCCAUCAGGUCUCUUCUCAAGUGAAUAAGGCAUAUAGGUUCCUAGAAUUCUGUCCCAUAUGUCAAAGUAGACAGAGAAGUUGUAUUUGGUACCAUAAAGCUGAUGGUGGACAUCAUGGUAUGCCGAAUUGUUGUUAAAAAAGAGGUAAAAGGGGUUUCCGGGAAGCUUCAUCCCGCAAUGAUCAUCCACUAAUUUAAGGAUGGUAAAGGAGGAGAAAAACAUGGCAGUUCGAGGAGACAUGCCGGAGAGGAGUACAGCUAAUGUUCCGCCCAUGGUGUCCAAGAACCCCUCAAUUGGAUGCAUAUACUGUCCUCCAAAUGAAUAGGGAACAACCAGCCGGUGAU